AGUGAACGCUGGCGGCGUGCCUAAUACAUGCAAGUCGAACGGAGUGGCGCACGGGUGAGUAAUAUAUAGCUAAUCUGCCCCUUGCUGGAGGACAACAGUUAGAAAUGACUGCUAAUACCCCAUAGCAAGGGAUGAGACGAUAUCGUAUCAGCUAGUCGGUGGGGUAACGGCCUACCGAGGCGAUGACGCGUAACUGGUCUGAGAGGAUGAUCAGUCACAUUGGAACGGAGACACAGUCCGAACUCCUACGGGAUGGAGCAGGAGGGAAUAGUGCGCAAUGGGGGAAACCCUGACGCAGCAACGCGGCGUGGAGGAUGACACUUUACGAGGAGUAAACUCCGUUUGUUAGGGAAGCGGUACCUAACGAAGAAGCACCGGCUAACUCCGUGCCAGCAGCCGCGGUAAUAC
rnacentral:rRNA from 1 species